rnacentral:rRNA from 1 species
UACGUAGGGGGCGAGCGUUGUCCGGAAUCAUUGGGCGUAAAGCGCGUGUAGGCGGCUCGGUAAGUCUGCUGUGAAAGUCCAGGGCUCAACCCUGGAAUGCCGGUGGAAACUGUCGAGCUUGAGUCCGGAAGAGGCGAGUGGAAUUCCUGGUGUAGCGGUGAAAUGCGCAGAUAUCAGGAGGAACAUCAAUGGCGAAGGCAGCUCGCUGGGACGGUACUGACGCUGAGACGCGAAAGCGUGGGGAGCAAACAGG